rnacentral:lncRNA from 1 species
GGGUAGUGGUAUCGGCGGUGGCUGUGGCAGCGGACCUGCCGCAGCUUGUGUUAGCCAUGCCGGCGGCGCGCGUGGAGUACAUUGCGCCCUGGUGGGUCGUGUGGCUUCACAGCGUCCCGCACCUCGGCCUGCGCCUGCAGCGCGUGGACAGCACUUUCAGCCCUAGCGACGAAACUUACCAGGAGUCACUGCUCUUCCUGGGCAUGUUGGCUGCCAUUGGCCUGGGCCUGAACCUCAUCUUCCUCGCCAUUUACCUGGUAUGCACAUGCUGCUGCCGGCGGGACCACACGGUGCAGACCAAGCAGCCUGACUCAUGCUGCGUGACCUGGACUGCAGUGAUGGCUGGACUCCUCUGCUGCGCUGCGGUGGGCGUUGGUUUUUAUGGAAACAGCGAAACCAACGAUGGGGUGCACCAGCUGAUCUACUCCCUGGACAACGCGAACCACACC